rnacentral:tRNA from 1 species
GGCUCGUUGGUCAAGCGGUUAAGACACUGGCCUCUCACGCCGGUAUCGCGGGUUCGACUCCCGCACGAGUCACCA